GCCACCCAAAUUACAGCGAUAAAACAUUUUAAUUUACAAUUAAUCAUCCACCCUAAUCAUUGCUUGACCCCAUAAAAAUCCUGUACGCACGGUAAAUUUCCCCUCCACCAUCACACAGUCGAUCAAACAGGGGAGCGUUAAUUCGGAACAUCCUCACAAGUGCAGCCACGAACUUCAGACCGGCAGAUCACACACCAUCCACAGAACUCUACUACGUGGUGACGAGCAAAAACCAACGAUCUACACGCACCGGACCGGAUGCACCCCUAAACCCGUGGAACCAAAAACAAUAAAUCUAACCGAAUUAUGCGAAGGUAUUUAUAUAGAUACUAGAGAGACAACAAAGGUGGGAGUAUAGUAUAGAUGACCAACGUGGGAGGAGAGUUGAGCAUACCGAACGACGAGCCGACGACGCGAACUCCGGCGCCCAGAAGCAGAACAGGUAUGCAGCCGAUCUCGGGCGGCGAUGUUCCUGUGGGCGGCGGGUGCUGGUUUGGCCGUUCUCCUUCCCCCAGGCUGGCGGCUAUAUAGCCGAGGAGACGGCGACAAGGAAGGAGCCAGGAUGGUGGCCGGAGGAGCAAACGCGUGGCGCCGAGUCAGGCCGCCAUGCGGGCUCGGGGCGCGUUACGGUUGCUGCGACCUGCGACUUGCGCGUCGCGAGCGCGUGCCGGCGACCGGCGUGCGUGGGAGGGGAAGGGGAGGAAAGGAAGAAAGCAACGCGACGAAGAACCGAACCGAGCCCCACAUCACCAGCCGGGCCUACAGCGCAGUGACCCGGAUCGAAACAUGUAAUUCUUGUGCCAUUUAUUGUCUUAGGAGAAAACAUAUUUAUGCUUCAUCACAAUAUCAAUAUGGGAAGCGAUUUUACGAAAAUACUUCUGCCCUCAAAGUCACACCUCACAGCAGUGCGGCCAACGGCCGCAUCUGUUCGGCUGCAUAGCUGCGAUUUAUGGACUGUGGAAGAGCUACGACAUGUGAAAAAACUGAUGCGGGCUGUUAAAAAGCUAAAAUCGUUUGGUGGAAACCAUUAAAAAUCGUUAAAUGUUUUUUGAUAUAUAUUUCACGGUUCCAUCCAAAAGCCACUAAAAUCAGGUCUAUAGGUGCUUUAAAUUUUGCACUACGAGAAAGUCAGCUUUUAAAAAAAAACUCUUUAUUGUAUUCAAUCCUUUGGUUUGACUUUUAGCUUUUAGGGAGCAAAAACCAAAAUUAAAAGCUAAACCAAACAUACCCUUAGACUACUAUAAUUGUAAUUGAUAAAGACAAAAUAUUGUAGUAACCACAGCGAACAUGGCUCCCAUGAAUUUCAUGCGCGAUGCAGCUUUCGUUCUCUAUAAAUUAUUGAUUGGUUUGUAUUAUGAUAGGAUAGAGCUAUUUUGUCCUCAAUUUAGUAUUGUUUGAAUUGAUUAUAUAUGAAACUUAAAAAAUAAAAAUUAUGCUUAAAUAUUGAACCAUCUUUUCAAAAUAUCCUGGACAGAACCACUCCAAUUGACUCUGAAACCAAAUGCUACCUAAACUAUGCUCAUACUCACUACCUAAACUAUGCUCAUACCCACUCCAUGAUUUCAUUAUAAGAACAGAAUUUAGAGAACCAAACUCUACCUAAACUAUGCUCAUACCCACUGCAUGAUUUUCAUUAUAAGAACAGAAUUUAGAGACAUGACUCGAUCUACUAUUUCAGCCUCAGAGCCUCAGGCAAGCAGGGAAACGGUUGAUGUCAUCAGAUCAACACGUCUUUUCAGACACCAGCAACAACGUACCGAAAUCGAUUGGUCAGAUAAAGCCACGAUUUAUUACUGGCAAUGGAUAUAAUCUUCAGAGCGCUCCAUCCACAAGACCAACAUAUACAGCAUAUCAGCAAAUGGUUAUUUAUGUCACUUAUUAGCAUUAUGUCACUCGCCACAAGCUGGAUUACUGGAAAUACAGAUGAAGGAUGAGUAACGCUGAAAAGGUAUUACUGGCAACACAUGUCCUGGAAGCCUGAGUUCAGCUACGAUCAACCAUGGAGGGCACAUCACUUCCACUUCUUGAACUUGCCGCCGCCGAACAUGCCGUGCCCGUGCUUGCCAUGCUUGAACUUGCCGUGCCCGUGCUUGAACUUGCCGUGGUGGCCGUGACCAUGCUUGAACUUGCCGUGGCCACCAUACCCGUGGCCGUAACCACCGUGACCAUAGCCUCCAAAGGCCCCAUGUCCACCGUGUCCGCUAUGGCCAUGAGAAAGCUUGUGUGCUCCAUAAGCGGCAGCGGCCGCGGCAGCACCUCCCGCUAGCAUUGCCCCCGUCCCCAUGUGGCCCCCGUGGCCCCCGCCGUGGCUGCUCCCAUAACCUGGAAUCACAAGAAGCAUCAGUUAGCAUGGAAUGAGCUUCAAUAUUUUACUGGAUCAACAGAACAGAAAUACCAAUUUCCAACAUUACAGCUACAGAAUGUAUAUGUAAAUGUUGGUUUAGUACAAUUCUAAAUCUGGACAAUAAAAUGUAAUAUAUAAGCAAUAUAACAAAGCAAGCAAGCCAAAACAAUCUCAAACUACGUACUAUAUAAACUGUUGUAUUAUUAUUACUUACAAAUACGAGUAUUUGCUGGAGUUAGACAAAUUAGCUAUUCUCAUAGCCAUUUCUUUUGUGAAAGGAAAGCUCUACUAGAUAUUAUCAUGGUGAAGGCUCCAUGAUUUCCAAGGUAAAGCACAUAACCGCAGAGUAAUUCAUACCAUGUUGAGUCAGUACCAAUGCAACCGCUAGCUAUUCUAAUAUCACUCUACGUUACAAACUAAGCAGAGUAAGUCAUACCAUGUUGUGUCAGUACCGAUGCAACUGCUAGCUAUUCUGAUCUCACUCCAAGUUACAAACUAAGUAUAGAACUGAUGAAGAGGAGAUCAUACCCUGGUGAGAUGAGCCGGGGUAGCCUGCAGGAGGAUAUCCACCUUGAGGUGGGUAGCCACCUGGCUGAGGGUACCCAUAUUGUGGUGGGUAUGCCCCAGGUGGAGGAGGAUAUGCCCCUGGAGGAGGAGGAUACGCCCCUGGGGGAGGCGGGUAUGCUCCUGGUUGCGGUGGGUAGCCCUGCGGAGGGUAUCCCUGGUGGGGGUACCCAUGACCACCGGCAACGCCGUGCAUCAUGUUCGAGAAGAGCCCCUUGUCGCUCUCGUCAUGCUUGUCUUUCCCUCCUCCCAUUGACCCCGCAAGUUACCUGAAGAAAGAACAUGCAGAUUAUAUAUAUCAAACUGUGAGCCAGCUGAAGUGUAGACUGAGAGAAUAUGAAUGUAGAUUGUAACACGUUGAAGAAUAAGGUGAGAAAAUCUGACACAGCAGGCGAGCGCGGCUCGGCCACCACAGGUCUACUGCCUCGGCCGAGCGCGACCUCGAGCACAGGUUUACUGCCUGGGCCGAGCGCGACCUCGGCUAAUAACCCACAACUGCUUUUCCACAAUCCACACAACUUUUUCAAAAGCCACAACACCCUUAGGCUAUUCUCAAUGGGUAGGUUUCAUAUUUGUGUUUCUAAGAUGCCACAUAAACAAGAAAGAAAUGAAAUCUUUGUUGAAUAGUCUCCCCAGUAGAGAGUUUCGUUGGGUGCGAUUUGGUAUGUAACAAGCAAUAGACAAUAUGCCUAGGUAUUUUACCCCAUGAAACUCAUUUUGUCUCUUUCUUCAUCGAUUGUUUGCCACAUCGUCCAGAUCACUGAUAUGGCACAUCAUUUAAUGAGAAUGAAAAAAAUUUAUGCAGAGGCAAUUGGAAUGAUGUACAGUAGAAAACUGGAAUGCUACCCAUAUAAUGGUCGAGUAUCAUCCCAAUUUCCUACUGCACAUCACUUGAGCAUGCUAGGAUCGGCCAUACGUAACUGAUUGCAUAUGGUAUACUCCUAUUGGCAAGCAGAACAGACCCUGCUUGUUAUCAUAUAAUAGUUCACCCUAAGCGCUACCUUUCUUCCCUACAAAAGGUAGGAUCUACUGGUCACCCAAAUUCCAGCGCUAAAACAUUUUAAUUUACAAUUAACUCCUCCGCCCUAAUCAUUGCUGGAGCUGGACCCCCAUAAGAUCAUGUAUGCACGAUAAAAUUCCCCUCCACCACCACCCAGAUCGAUCAAACAGGGGAAGGUUAAUUCGGAGGAUCCUCACAACUAUAGCCACGCUCACGCACUUGAGAUCGGCAGAUCACACACCAUCCAUAGAACUCUACCACAACGAUGACAAGCAAAAACCAACGAUCUACACGCAUCAAAUGAACCCCUAAACUCGUGGAACAAAAAAGUAAAUCUAACCGAAUUACGCGCAGGUAUUUAUAUAGAGAGACAAAAGGUGGGAGGAGAGUUGGGCAUAC
rnacentral:lncRNA from 1 species